AACCCAUAGUGAGGGCACCUGUUCAAUAAGUCCUUGUAUCUCUCCCAUGCAUCAGAUAGAAUUUCUAAAUCCAUCUGCACAAAAGAAGAGAUAGCAUUCCUCAAUUU
rfam:Gossypium arboreum cultivar AKA8401 contig_13500_3, whole genome shotgun sequence.